rnacentral:rRNA from 1 species
UACGUAGGGCGCAAGCGUUAUCCGGAAUUAUUGGGCGUAAAGAGCUCGUAGGCGGUUUGUCGCGUCUAUCGUGAAAGUCCGAGGCUCAACUUCGGAUCUGCGGUGGGUACGGGCAGACUAGAGUGAUGUAGGGGAGACUGGAAUUCCUGGUGUAGCGGUGAAAUGCGCAGAUAUCAGGAGGAACACCGAUGGCGAAGGCAGGUCUCUGGGCAUUAACUGACGCUGAGGAGCGAAAGCAUGGGGAGCGAACAGGAUUAGAAACCCCCGUAGUCC